rnacentral:rRNA from 1 species
UACGUAGGGUGCGAGCGUUAAUCGGAAUUACUGGGCGUAAAGCGUGCGCAGGCGGUUCGUUAUGUCCGAUGUGAAAUCCCCGGGCUUAACCUGGGAACUGCAUUUGUGACUGCACGGCUAGAGUACGGCAGAGGGGGAUGGAAUUCCGCGUGUAGCAGUGAAAUGCGUAGAUAUGCGGAGGAACACCAAUGGCGAAAGCAGUCCCCUGGGCCUGUACUGACGCUCAUGCACGAAAGCGUGGGGAGCAAACAGG